rnacentral:lncRNA from 1 species
AAUGCCAGGCAAGUGGGCAAUGUCUAUGUGUUCCAGCAAACCCAAACACUUUGCACAGACCUUCUUAAUUCCGUGAACAAAUCCGGCGUGCAGAGACUUGUUAAUUCCAGCGGAAUUGAAUCUAAGAAUUCCGUGAACAAAUUAUGACGAUGAUACUAUGUCAGUUAAUAUAAAAUUGAAUGAGAAAUCUGGAAUUAAAUUACUUAGCAAAUUCAGCAAAGAAAACGAAAUUGCUUAGCAAUUCGAACGAGAAAGAGGAUUAAACUUACCUUGCACAGGUGACGACUGACAAAACCAAGACAGAGGCAGCGACGGCAGAGACUAAACAAUUCGAACAAGACAAAAUCAACUCAAAGAAUGAUUGCAAUCUGCAGACGGAUCGCCGGUGCACCGGAACAGAAGUUAACGCAGCAGUGGGUGUGACUAUAUCUUUUGCAAUUCGUUAAUUAGGGAUCAAGUUUUCCCUUUGUAUUUUUU